CCUACGGGGGGCAGCAGUGGGGAAUAUUGGACAAUGGGGGGAACCCUGAUCCAGCCAUGCCACGUGUGUGAAGAAGGCCCUCGGGUUGUAAAGCACUUUCAGUGAGGAAGAACGCCUGGUGGUUAAUACCCAUCAGGAAAGACAUCACUCACAGAAGAAGCACCGGCUAACUCCGUGCCAGCAGCCGCGGUAAUACGGAGGGUGCGAGCGUUAAUCGGAAUUACUGGGCGUAAAGCGCGCGUAGGUGGCUUGAUAAGCCGGUUGUGAAAGCCCCGGGCUCAACCUGGGAACGGCAUCCGGAACUGUCAAGCUAGAGUGCAGGAGAGGAAGGUAGAAUUCCCGGUGUAGCGGUGAAAUGCGUAGAGAUCGGGAGGAAUACCAGUGGCGAAGGCGGCCUUCUGGACUGACACUGACACUGAGGUGCGAAAGCGUGGGUAGCAAACAGGAUUAGAUACCCGUGUAGUC
rnacentral:rRNA from 1 species